rnacentral:rRNA from 1 species
GACGUAGGGGGCCAGCGUUGCUCGGAAUUACUGGGCGUAAAGGGUUCGUAGGCGGUGUGGCAAGUCGGGAGUGAAAUCUCUGGGCUUAACUCAGAGGCUGCUUCCGAAACUGCCGUGCUAGAGUGCGGGAGAGGCGAGUGGAAUUCCUGGUGUAGCAGUGAAAUGCGUAGAUAUCAGGAGGAAUACCGAUGGCGAAGGCAGGUCUCUGGGCUGACACUGACGCUCAUGCACGAAAGCGUGGGGAGCAAACAGG